UAGCAAACACAUGAAAUCAACCUAGAUGCUUAUCAGUGGUGGACUGCAUAAAGCAAACGUCAUACAUAUACACCAUGGAAUACUAUGAAGCCAUAAAAAAUUAAGUGUUUUCUGUAAUAUGGAUGCUGCAAGCGGCCAUUAUCCUAAGUGAAUUAAUGCAUAAACCAAAUACUACACGUUCUCACAACUGAAAGCCAAACACUGAAUACACAUGGAUACUAAGAAGGGCUUGAUAGAUACUGGGGCCUAAUUGAGGGUGGAGAGAGGGAGAAGGGCAAGAAUCAAAAAAUAACCCAUUGGGUACUAUGCUCAUUACCUGGGUGAUAAAAUAAUCAGACUACUCUUAAAACUAUUACAAAAAAUCGAAGAGGAGGACUUUCUCCCUUACUCAUUCUACAAGGUCAGUAUUAUUUUGAUACCAAAACCAGACAAAGACACAAAAAGAAAAGAAAACUACAGUCCAAUAUCCCUGAUGAGCAUAGACACAAAAAUCUUCAGCAAAAUACUGGCAAACCAAAUCCAACAGCACAUCAAAAAACGUAAUACAAUAUGAUCAGUUGAUAUUUACCCCAGGGAUUUAAGGGGUAUUUACCCCAGGGAUUUAAGUUGAUAUUUAUACCAGGGAUUCAAUAUGUAUAAAUCAAUAAAUGUGAUACAUCAUGUCAACAGAAUCAAGGACAAAACCCAUAUGACCAUUUCAACAGACACAGAAAAAUCAGC
rnacentral:lncRNA from 1 species